CUUGAGGAAAGCAAACAUCUACCCACUCACCACCAAUAGCUGGAGACCCACAAGGAGAAGAUAUGUGGGCUUCGACGGAAGGCAAAUCAUGGGGAGAUGGCUGAGAAAUCCAUGUUGGAACGUAACAAGAGGCACAAAGAUUUCUUUGCUACUAACAAGUUUAUUUAUAGAUAUUGUUUUCUCAUUCAAAGAAGUUAAAAUGAUGGAAAAAAAUGAAAAUGCAUAUGUAGGACUGCGAAAGGCAGCCUGGUUUCUGGUUGAGCUAAGGCUUGAAACCCUGGUGACCCUACAAGGAACAGUAAGAGUUUUGCCACACUCCUGGACACCAGGCUCCUGACACAAGGCCACAUCCCUCCAUAAUUUUGUGAACAUCAGUCAGG